rnacentral:rRNA from 1 species
AGUGAACGCUGGCGGUAGGCCUAACACAUGCAAGUCGAACGGCAGCACAGUAAAAGCUUGCUCUUACGGGUGGCGAGUGGCGGACGGGUGAGGAAUACAUCGGAAUCUACUUUUUCGUGGGGGAUAACGUAGGGAAACUUACGCUAAUACCGCAUACGACCUACGGGUGAAAGUAGGGGAUCUUCGGACCUUGCGCGAUUGAAUGAGCCGAUGUCGGAUUAGCUAGUUGGCGGGGUAAAGGCCCACCAAGGCGACGAUCCGUAGCUGGUCUGAGAGGAUGAUCAGCCACACUGGAACUGAGACACGGUCCAGACUCCUACGGGAGGCAGCAGUGGGGAAUAUUGGACAAUGGGCGCAAGCCUGAUCCAGCCAUACCGCGUGGGUGAAGAAGGCCUUCGGGUUGUAAAGCCCUUUUGUUGGGAAAGAAAAGCAGCAGGUUAAUACCCCGCUGUUCUGACGGUACCCAAAGAAUAAGCACCGGCUAACUUCGUG